rnacentral:rRNA from 1 species
GAAGGUGGCAAGCGUUGUUCGGAAUCACUGGGCUUAAAGCGCGCGUAGGCGGAAAUACAAGUGUCAUGUGAAAUCCCUCGGCUUAACCGAGGAAUUGCUUGGCAAACUGUAUUUCUUGAGGCAAGUAGGGGUACAUGGAACUCUUGGUGGAGCGGUGGAAUGCGUAGAUAUCAAGAGGAACGCCAAUGGUGAAGACAGUGUACUGGGCUUGUCCUGACGCUGAGGUGCGAAAGCGUGGGGGAGCGAACGGGAUUAGAUACCCCGGUAGUCCACGCCGUAAACGAUGUCUACUAGGUCGUGGGAGUUCUGACACUAUCACGGCCGGAGCAAAAGUGUUAAGUAGACCGCCUGGGGAGUACGGCCGCAAGGCUA